AAUUAUUUAAUAAGAUUUUCGAAAACAGUGAAAAGUCAUUUGCAAGUUAUAUAUUUAAUUAUUUCAGGUACCAGUCUUGCUGAUAAAUUUGUAACUCGUGUUAAUUGAUUAAUGGAAUCGCGACUUUGACGGUAGUAAAGUAAUUGGGAAAGGAUCGCAGGCCUCAGGGCCAGAACGCCCAAAGCAGCAAUAGCCACUUAGCCACAUUGCAACAGGCAUUAGCGGUAACGAAGUUAACGAGAGCUCGGUUAAACCGGUUUAGAGGUUACGAAGACGUGCCAGGGGGACGGAAAGCCUAAAACCCGACGGCGGUCUUCGGCUAAGCCUGGCUCCUUCGACCUUGUUGGAAUUAGCAACUUCCACGGCAACCUUCCUUCAUCUGGAAUGUAUACGAGGAACCUCUCCGAUUUCAAUUUCGCCAUGAAGAAUCCCCCUCGACUCAACCUCGGUAUAGAAAUGCCGGACAAGAGGGAGUUCUCGAGUGCACUCAAGACUGAAGGACGGAAACGGAGGAAGAAAGGCGGCUCUAGCUCGUUAGCACGAUUACAGUGGAAACUACGGCGGGAACACCGAUCACACAGCUAUCUGCCGUCUGCGGACAGACAUGAUGGCAGCCUUUGUGAAGUUCACGAGUGGCCGAUAGUUGACUAAGACAUUCCAUCUACAGACAAUUUCAUCCGGACGCGAUCAGACACCCGGUGGUUCGACGGUUUCGACGGUGAUCGUGUACGUUUAUCACGGCGCAGAAGACGGCAAAUGGGCGGCUCAAAUCCUUUGAAGUUUCUAAAAGCUAUCUCGUCACACCCCGAUAUAACAACUCUGGUGGUUUAUAGUGAAGUAGUCGACGUAAAAAAAGAGUCUGCUAAAACGUGUGCAAGAUGAAAAAUCUUAAAAUACAUUUGCAUCGAUCUGUUCAUGGUAGCACUGUGUUUUAUUGAGUGAGUAUUCCAUUGAAUAAUUCGCGCAAAGAGAGAGAUAAUAUUCUUUCAUUGAAGCAUAUAACGAUGUAAUUUUAUCUCGUAUUUAUAAUUUCUUUCACGAUUGUUAACAAAAUUAUAAUUAAACGUGCGAUGGAAAGUAUUCACGAGUAUAAAGUUAUUUCAACUCUUAUAAAAAAUUUAAUUAAUAUAAUAAAGACGAGAAUAGUAAACAGAAAGAUCAAAGAAUUUUAAUGCUUUAUAAGCGAUUAUUUUCUUUGUUCUUUUUCACUUAGCAUGAUUUAACCUUCUGUAUUAGAUACAUUAUUGUGAUUACAAGACAGGCCGACAUAAGGUUUCGCGAUUUAAGCAAAUAGAAACUUUGUUGUGGGGAUCUUGAAGUAUGCGACAUCGUUAUACAGAUCUACAUCCCCAGCGGAGGGUUGUCUUUUCGUCGAAUCAGGGUAGACUGGCUUUUUCACUAAUGAAUCGAGGGUGUGAGAAAUGUUUCGAAAGGGCAAGUCUUCUUUUUUUGAACUUAUUUAACGAACGAAUGUGAUUUCGAUUCCGACCUUUUUUUAAGAAUAGAAUUUUAGUGAA